rnacentral:lncRNA from 1 species
AUCAAGGCAUGGAAUUUAAAGAAAUCAUAAAGUCCCUGCCCUCCAGAACAUUGAAUGAUAAUGAAGACAGAUAAGUACUCAAUUAAAAUACAACAUGGCAAAAGGAGUGAUGGCGGUAGGCACUGGUUAUUAGAACAUGCAGGAGAAUGGAGCUGUAGCACUCCCUGUGACACAGUGGGAGAGACCAUUUUCAGGGAAGGAAUCCAGAGAGGAGACACCGAAUUGUUUGGGUAUGAGGAGUUAGGUAUAAUGGAAGAAGAGAUGCAAAUCCAGCCAUGAAAGCAAUAAAUGGCAUGUGUGAUAAUUCUGUAUUAUUGGCAUAUAAUUGUGAGAUGGGAAGACAGGAUGGAUGUAGGCAAAGGCUAUACAUGAUGGUUCUGUGAGGAAGGUUGGGCUUUUUUCUGAAGAGGAAAGGAAUCAUUAGAGAGUUUUUUCUGCUAUUUCUAUGGAGGAUGAAGUUGAGGGAAAUGAUAUUUAAGCAGACAGAACAGUUAUGCUUUAUGACCUUGUAGAAUUUCCUCAUAGAAGAUCAUCAGAAAAUUAAUAGAAAAGCCUAAAAAUUACUGUGGUUUUCUUGUGUAUGACAAUUCUUUUCUUCUUUGUAGACGGAGAAGCCUGAAGGGGAAAAAACACAGUCCACUGUUUUCUGAGGAAGAACUGUGAGACCCUCUUGCCUCCACUUGUAAUCAUAGGGAAGUGGAAGCUGUGUUUCCUGGAGACCACCUGGGUGAAAAAUGCUAAAUGGACAUCACAGAAGAGCUGCUUUAGAAGUGAAGUUUUGAUUUGAACCACUCAUUUAGUGGUUGUUAAUUAAAUCAAUCUGGUAAUCUGGGUUUUACUUUUUUAAAUGAUUCAUUUAUGAUUCCAAUAUCAUACUAAAGAGGUAGGAAGGAAAAAUAUUCAGAGUAGUAAAAUUAAGGUAGAAGAGUCUAAGAUAAUAAACAACUUCUGUCACUGAUCAUAAAUGGUUAUAAACUCUCCUACUAUCUAUAUAUCUAUAUCAAUAUCUAUAUCUAUAUCUAUCUCUCUAUAUAUAAUGGCAUAAGAACAAAUGUGAAUUUGUUAAUAAUCAAAAUUAUAGGGCAAAUCUAAAUGAGAGAAAAGAAAAUCCUCAAAAAUUUCAAGUAUUUACCCAUCAAUUUUUUUCUUCUGUGUCCCACACUCGUUUCAGAAUACACAUUAAGACUGUCUUCCCACUUAGACAUACUUUCUGUCUCUGGGGAAUGUAAUGCAUACUGUGAUUCUUUAUGGAUUAACUGUAAGUCCAAGACAGUUUUAAGACAUCAAAACUGCCUAACUGGAAACUCUGAGCUGCCCUCAGCCAGUAACCUAGGGGGCUGUGCAACUCAUAGCCUCUGCCUACCUUCACUUGUUACUGCAAUGGAAAUUUCUAUCACUUCUGUUGGGCAGUGACUUUAACGUCUUAUGACCUUUACUUGGCCUGCCUGGUGAGAGUUCUUUGAGGAAUUACAGUUGUGAACAUGUGCUUAAUUUAUUUUUCACCCUCUUUUACACUUUUUUUCUGCAAGUAUUUUAUGUUAUAUUCACACAUAUUAGGAAACUAAUGUCUGUGUAUCUUUC